rnacentral:rRNA from 1 species
UGGGGAAUAUUGGACAAUGGGGGGAACCCUGAUCCAGCCAUGCCGCGUGUGUGAAGAAGGCCUUAUGGUUGUAAAGCACUUUAAGCGAGGAGGAGGGUACUGGUAUUAAUACUACCAGGUACUGGACGUUACUCGCAGAAUAAGCACCGGCUAACUCUGUGCCAGCAGCCGCGGUAAUACAGAGGGUGCGAGCGUUAAUCGGAUUUACUGGGCGUAAAGCGUGCGUAGGCGGCUAAUUGAGUCGGAUGUGAAAUCCCCGAGCUUAACUUGGGAAUUGCAUUCGAUACUGGUUAGCUAGAGUGUGGGAGAGGAUGGGAGAAUUCCAGGUGUAGCGGUGAAAUGCGUAGAGAUCUGGAGGAAUACCGAUGGCGAAGGCAGCCAUCUGGCCUAACACUGACGCUGAGGUACGAAAGCAUGGGGAGCAAACAGG